AGUGAACGCUGGCGGUAGGCCUAACACAUGCAAGUCGAACGGCAGCACAGUAAGAGCUUGCUCUUACGGGUGGCGAGUGGCGGACGGGUGAGGAAUACAUCGGAAUCUACUUUUUCGUGGGGGAUAACGUAGGGAAACUUACGCUAAUACCGCAUACGACCUACGGGUGAAAGCAGGGGAUCUUCGGACCUUGCGCGAUUGAAUGAGCCGAUGUCGGAUUAGCUAGUUGGCGGGGUAAAGGCCCACCAAGGCGACGAUCCGUAGCUGGUCUGAGAGGAUGAUCAGCCACACUUGAACUGAUACACCGGCCAGACUCCUACGGGAGGCAGCAGUGGGGAAUAUUGGACAAUGGGCGCAAGCCUGAUCCAGCCAUACCGCGUGGGUGAAGAAGGCCUUCGGGUUGUAAGGCCCUUUUGUUGGGAAAGAAAAGCAGCAGGUUAAUACCCCGCUGUUCUGACGGUACCCAAAGAAUAAGCACCGGCUAACUUCGU
rnacentral:rRNA from 1 species